ensembl:lncRNA
GGAUAAGUAAUGCGCGCCGUGCGGAACACGCCGCUGAUAAGGCUGUUGGUAAUUGCUUCGGUAAAAAUAUGUAGCAACAUGCUUGUGUGCUUAUUUACAUCUGGGGAUGUGCGCUGGAAUGGAGGGCUUAGAUUUGUAACUGUCCCCCCUACGCCCCGUUGACACAAAGGAGACUUUUUAGGUGUGAUCGCUUUCUCUUUUCAGGGGGGGAAUGUUGGAUUGUUGGGUUUGCUGCAUAAAGUACAGGGAACAGUUUUGGUGUUAUCUUGAAUUCAAAAUUCCAACCUUGACUGCUAAUAAGGAGGUGGUGCAUCUCACAGAGGAGUGUUUUCCAGCAAUAAUUUUGCACAGAUUGCCAUGGGAUGCCCCUGAUGUUGCUGAUCUCUUACUCCUGCCCUACUGGUGAGGUUCAGGAUGGAAACGCUUUUAUGGCUGAGUUGGACAGUGCCUCCAGAAGAGCCAAGGACUCCAGGCCAGCACUGACUCAGGACAGUCUCCGCUGUUGGCUGUGCUAGGACCCAUCUUUCAUAAAGAGUUUGGAGGCACGUGAACAAUAUUGUUGUUUACAUUCUAUUCUGCAG